ACAAUUCAGCCCAUCACAGGGAUAUGAGCUGAAAGAAUAUCUUGGCCAAAUUAUUCCAUCCCACCAGCAUCAGGAGAAGGGAACCAAACUGUAUCAGAGAGCUCCACAAGAAACCCAGUGUGGGAGUAAGGAGGCAUUUCCCCACCAGCUCUGCAGUGAAGCAGAUCUCUCUGGAUGCUCUCCCCAUAGCAGCACAGCCCACGACAGCCAGGACUGCAGGGUAAGUGGAAAUCCAGGACCCCAAAGCCGGGGUGCCAGCUCUUCAUCUAGACCUCUGUUCCUGCCUCUCAGCUACCCGUCCCUCCCGCCUGGGAGCCAUGGAUAAAAACAACUACCUGCUCUGUCUGGAAACCAACACCAGAGGCUGAUCUGAGUCCAGAAUGACAUACCUAUAUGAGGAAGAUCACGGCUUGGCAUCAACUUUAGAGAUAGAAUAGGACAUGUCCUUGAAAGAAUUACAGGUAGACGGAGAAUCAUUUGAAAGAAAACCUUCUUGCCUGCAGAUUGCACACACGUUUUUGAACAUCUCAGAGUAAAAAGGAACGGUUCAACUCGCUUGUCAAAUCUAAGCGGGUGGUAAGAGGGACAGAAACACUGUUUCUACAGCCAGGAAUCUUUUAAAUCAAAGGUUACUGAUAAGCAUUUGCCUUUUAACAUCUCCUGCUCAAGACCCUUUGUAGAAACAGUUUCUGUUUGCUUGUGUUCCCCUGGGGAAAGGGACAGUGUUGUAUCCCAAUCUGCUGCCUUAAGCCUCUGGUUUAAAUGAUUUACAUCAACCCUCCCUUGGUCUUCAGUACUUUUUCAUGCCAAGUACUGAUGCUCUGACCCAAAGAUGGGAAGCAAGUCUUGGCUCCUCCUGUGUCCAAGGCUUUGAUCAACCCGAUGUAUCUUGCUGCCUGCCUAAAGUGUAAAUGAGAUUAUAUUUUAUAUUUACAGCGUGGCUCCUGGGAGGGCAGCUGAAGAUAUUACACAUGGGGUGCUUGCAAAAACAAUAAACCGUUCUCCAUGGAUGAGGAUGACAUUCCUGACCCGCCCUCUGAGAGGAUGAGCUCACAGUUGCUUUCCCUGGGGAGAGCACCACUCCCGUCACCUGGUUGCCAUUUGUCUCGGGCCAGCCAGGUUGGGGGUGCAGCUAAGUGAAGAGAACAAAGUUUGCCUCUGUGCAAAGCUAACUGACCCAUUUACCAAUCCCACCAAUCAAACUCGUGAUGUCAGUCUUCCUGGCAGGAGCCACAGACCCACACGUCUAACUGCUCCAUAGGAACCAAUGCGUCCGCAAACAGACUUCUGCCCCCCAGAGCACGCUUGCUCUGGGGCUGGAGUGUGUGCACAGAGCUCCGCCCCUUGUCACCGCCCCCUGCACCCUGGG